GACGAACGCUGGCGGCGUGCCUAAUACAUGCAAGUAGAACGCACAGUUUAUACCGUAGCUUGCUACACCAUAGACUGUGAGUUGCGAACGGGUGAGUAACGCGUAGGUAACCUGCCUGGUAGCGGGGGAUAACUAUUGGAAACGAUAGCUAAUACCGCAUAAUAUUGAUUAUUGCAUGAUAAUUAAUUGAAAGGUGCAAUUGCACCACUACCAGAUGGACCUGCGUUGUAUUAGCUAGUAGGUGAGGUAACGGCUCACCUAGGCGACGAUACAUAGCCGACCUGCGAGGGUGAUCGGCCACACUGGGACUGGGACCCGGCCCAGACUCCUACGGGAGGCAGCAGUAGGGAAUCUUCGGCAAUGGACGGAAGUCUGACCGAGCAACGCCGCGUGAGUGAAGAAGGUUUUCGGAUCGUAAAGCUCGGUUGUAAGAGAAGAACGGGUGUGAGAGUGGAAAGUUCACACUGUGACGGUAUCUUACCAGAAAGGGACGGCUAACUACGUG
rnacentral:rRNA from 1 species